UUCUCCUUCUUCUUUAAUCUCGUCUUCUUCAGCUCAAAACCUAAACCAAACAAAACCUUAACACCACUUCUUCUCUCGAUCAAUCAAUCAGCGAUUAUUCACCUUUAAUCGACCAUAGAUCUUUCCUUAAUCGUCGAUCCCAAUUAACAUGGCUUCGAACGGCGCUUCUCCGAGGAUUGUUGAUGCUACUGAUAACAGCUUGGAUAAGAUCAAGCAGCAAUUGGAAUCGAGGGUUAUCGGAACUUGCUUCUGGGACCUCUUAUUCAAGCGAGCUGAAACUGAAUUAACAUAGAAUCCGACUAAUUGAAAGUUAUAAACUCCUCAACUUAGCAUAAGCAGAUCAAAAAAUGAAGAGAAGGAAGCUUCUACCAUCAGAAGCAUCAGGACAAAAAUCUGAAACAAAGGAGAAUCAAAUCUACAUCCGCAUCUAUGCAAGAAGGUGGAGGCAUUAUUGGAGUUGUAGGUGUUCUGCUAAAAAGACUCUGGCUUGUAUUAGUCAUGGCGCUUAAUCCAGAUGGAGUUAACAAUGGGUUAGGUCUGGUGUAAGGAGAGCAAGGCUUGGACAUUUUUCCACGAAGUGAACCUGUUUUAAAACUCAUCAAGAUUUAGAGAUAAAGAUGAAGAUGUAUUAGCAUCUGCAGAGUUCUCAAUGGGGCUAACUUGUGGGUCUGGAAGGAAAGAGAGCAAUGAAAUAUUCUUGAUAUACACAAUCAAUAGCACAUAAGGAAGAUGGACUAUUCAAAUAAGCGAGGACCAACUCAAGGGUUUCACCUGUGUUGUUGGUAUACUGGCGCCAAGAAUGGAGCACCUUAACCUGGACACGCCAAGAUGUCUUGUAUGGUCUGACAUCUCUUAACAUUGCAAAUUGGGAAGCCAUUGGUGAAGGUCGCAGCAACUAAGGAAAGAUUUGGUGACUCAAAAUCGGAGCAAACAAUUAAAUUAGGCAAGAUCCGAGAUUCUCCUAAUCGGGUCUAAAAACAAUUAAUUCCGGGUCAAAAUUUUGACCCGAUUUGGGUACCCAAAAACUGCUGCAAAAAUGUAUAGUAGAUUACAGUUCAAUUAUAUGUCGAGUUUUGCAUGAAA